GAUAAAAAAAAACAUAAGUUCAACACACCCUAAAAUCCAUUAAAUAAAGUGUGUUAGUAGUCGGCUAUAAAUCAAAGGAGAAUUCAAGGAACGUUCCACACACCAUAAAACCAUUAAGUAAAGUGUAUCAGUGGGCUAUAAAUCAAGGGCGAAUUCAAGGAACGUUAAACACACCCUAAAAUCCAUUAAAUAAAGGGUGUCAGUAGGCGGCUAUAAAUCAAGGGCGAAUUCAAGGAACUUCAACACACAUUAAAAUCCAUUAAGUAGUGUGUCAGAGCGGUAUAAAUCUUGGGCGGUUUCAAGGGACGUUCCACAUACCUAAAUCGAUUUUGUGCACAUAUUAUAGCUUAAAAAUGACACAUUAUUUUAUUUCAGAUUUAUUUUAGAAUAUGUACAUAUUGAUUUUAUAUAUGUGUAAUAAGAAUUUUUAAUUGUGAUGAUAAAGGGAAUCAAGUGAGGUACAUGUAAAAUUAAGGUCAACCUUUAAAAUUACUAGGUCUGUAAUAUAACUGUAUUGAAUAAUUGAAAGUACAGAUGGGCAAAAGCAAAAAUUCGCUUUGGAUCACACGACUGAUUGAAUAAUCCAGAUUUGGCAGCGAAGCAGUCCCAAGAAAACAAAGAAAAUGUGCCCUCUGUGACCUCAGUUACACUAAAAACAAAAUCCUAUUUAACAUAAAAUACAAAAUAUACAGAGAUCUAAUGAGGCACACCCGAGUGUUACAAAAUUCAUUGACUUACUAAACUCAAAAAAUAAAAGCGUACUGAUUUAGCUGUGUUUAUCAUUAAAUCGUUUAAGUUGAGACUGUCUCAGAAUCUUUUGAAUGUACUGUAACAGUAAAUCUUACCUUUAUCUGUAUUAUUAUGUUGAUUCUCGCUUUCUGUGCUUUUUGUUAUGUUUUGAAAUCGUUUGUCUAUGCAUUACGUGUGCCAUUCAGUAAGGAAUUGUUUAAGUAUAUGUCGAUACGCUGUUAAUACGCCUAAGAUUAAUAGAUAUAUGUUCUGUUCUGUUCUGCUCUAUUCUGUUCUGUUAUCUAUCAAAACCAGUGAUUUGUUGUUGAAUAAAAUCAUUGAUUGGAGUUCAGAUGAGACGGAAUUAUAUAACGAGGGCGCAGCUGAACGACAAACAACGAUAUUAUUAAAGAGAUUUCACGGUUUUAAAUAUGUUAUUUCGAUACUAACACGAUACCAGAGAUUGGUUUCUACAUCCUUGACGACAUCCAUCAAAUUUUCGCCUGUUUUGUGUGGUUUUCUGUAUGACGUUAGACCAUAAAACGUAAUAAUUGUAACAUACUAACAGUGAGCAUGUUGCACAAUUACACACAGUUUUGACAGUAUUCUUUGUUUAAUAGAACAGGCCGUGUUUGAAUUCAUUUAGUAAUCAAACACUAAUAUCUUAAAUUUUCAAUUGCACGUUUAUAUAUAAAUAUACAAAUCAUUAUAUACAUAUAACAGAAUAGCUUAACCUUCAAGUGAAACAUGAUUCUUAUAUCUUUUCAGUGUAUUAUCAGAAAAUAAGAGUGAUAUAUGUCUGAUAAAUAAAAAAUGUUGCUUUAUUGCAGAAACUAUCGAAGGAGGGGUUAAACUUCGUUUAGUGUAUUUUUAACAUUAAUUUUUAUUUUUGAUCCUUUUAAACCUUCACCCAAAUGCUAGUUAAUUUUAUGUUAUGCGUAACAUUUUAACCAUGGGUGUAUCUUUUAUUUCUCUAUAUUAUUUACCAUGCAUUUGUUUUGGGUUUAUCGCCGUUUUUCAACAGAAUUUCACUUGCCAAUUGCAUAGCGCACCGACCUUCCAUAGUAUUGAUUAAACUGACGAACUAUUCUGUAUACUGACUCAAUUUAUACACAGCAGCUGGUCUGCUUUAUAAGAGUUUUCUGAAAAUACAGCGACCUAAAAACACAUGUUACAUAACUUUGUGUUUACAUGGAAGAAUAUUAAAGGAUUAAGGAAUUUAUUCUUUUAAGGAAACGAUGGCAGAGACGGAGGGCAUCAAUGUUACGGAGGCUGUGACUACUGAAAAUGAGGAAAUACGUCGGGAAAACAAACAACUGUUGAAAGAGAUAGCUGGGCUAUGCAACAGAAGGGACAAAACAGAUGUAGAGAAAAUACUGUUACUUGGAAAGAUUGGGGCUGGCAAGAGUUCAGUUGUUAACACAAUUAUCAAGGCCCUGUCUGGGAAGUACAUACCUAAAGCUAAAGUAGGAAAGGGUUCAACACAGUCAAAAACUUUUACAUUGGAGAGAUAUAUCAGUUGUGGUGUGACUGUUGAAGAU
rnacentral:misc_RNA from 1 species